UUUGAUUAUCCUAGCAGAAUACAAAUAGUCAUUUAUGUGCUUGUUUAAUGAAAUGCCUAUUCGUACAUAAGGAUACUUAGGCCACACAGGACUUUUUGGCUUGUAAUGUUCUGAAGCUUAGGAUAGGUAUAGAAUUCAAGAAUGGUAAGCAUUAAGCGGGUUACAACACGAAAAUAGUUUUACACAUCGUAUCGAUCCCUUUCUUCCCCCUGAAUGACCAUUACAUGCUCACCAC
rnacentral:lncRNA from 1 species